GGGCUCACUUUGGCAGCACAAAAACUAAAAUUGGAAUGAUACAGAGAAGAUUAGCAUGGCCUCAGUGCAAGGAUGACAUGCAAAUUCAUGAAGCAUUCCAUAUUUUA
ensembl:snRNA U6 U6 spliceosomal RNA